rnacentral:rRNA from 1 species
CAGUCGCCGCGGGAAUACGUAGGGGGCAAGCGUUGUCCGGAAUUAUUGGGCGUAAAGCGCGCGCAGGCGGUUUUUUAAGUCUGGUGUCUAAGUGCGGGGCUCAACCCCGUGACGCACUGGAAACUGGGAGACUUGAGUGCAGAAGAGGAGAGCGGAAUUCCACGUGUAGCGGUGAAAUGCGUAGAGAUGUGGAGGAACACCAGUGGCGAAGGCGGCUCUCUGGACUGUAACUGACGCUGAGGCGCGAAAGCGUGGGGAGCGAACAGGAUUAGAUACCCCUGUAGUCCCUGUCUCUUAUACA